UGCAAGUCGAACGAGCGAGAGAGAGCUUGCUUUCUCGAGCGAGUGGCGAACGGGUGAGUAACGCGUGAGGAACCUGCCUCAAAGAGGGGGACAACAGUUGGAAACGACUGCUAAUACCGCAUAAGCCCACAGGUCGGCAUCGACCAGAGGGAAAAGGAGCAAUCCGCUUUGAGAUGGCCUCGCGUCCGAUUAGCUAGUUGGUGAGGUAAUGGCCCACCAAGGCGACGAUCGGUAGCCGGACUGAGAGGUUGAACGGCCACAUUGGGACUGAGACACGGCCCAGACUCCUACGGGAGGCAGCAGUGGGGAAUAUUGCACAAUGGGGGAAACCCUGAUGCAGCGACGCCGCGUGGAGGAAGAAGGUCUUCGGAUUGUAAACUCCUGUUGUUGAGGAAGAUAAUGACGGUACUCAACAAGGAAGUGACGGCUAACUACGUGCCAGCAGCCGCGGUAAAACGUAGGUCACAAGCGUUGUCCGGAAUUACUGGGUGUAAAGGGAGCGCAGGCGGGAAGACAAGUUGGAAGUGAAAUCUAUGGGCUCAACCCAUAAACUGCUUUCAAAACUGUUUUUCUUGAGUAGUGCAGAGGUAGGCGGAAUUCCCGGUGUAGCGGUGGAAUGCGUAGAUAUCGGGAGGAACACCAGUGGCGAAGGCGGCCUACUGGGCACCAACUGACGCUGAGGCUCGAAAGUGUGGGUAGCAAACAGGAUUAGAUACCCUGGUAGUCC
rnacentral:rRNA from 1 species